UAAAGCCGUAUGCUUUGGAAGAAGCUUGUAGGGUUUGGGAAGGGGUUUUGAUUGAUCAAAAAGAUGAAUCUACUUCAAC
rfam:Citrus clementina cultivar Clemenules unplaced genomic scaffold scaffold_1, whole genome shotgun sequence.